rnacentral:rRNA from 1 species
GAUGAACGCUGGCGGCGUGCCUAAUACAUGCAAGUCGAGCGAACAGACGAGGAGCUUGCACCUAUGACGUUAGCGGCGGACGGGUGAGUAACACGUGGAUAAUCUCACUAUAAGACUGGGAUAACUUCGGGAAACCGAAGCUAAUACCGGAUAAUAUCUUGAAACGCAUGGUUUAAUAUUGAAAGACGGUUUUGCUGUCACUUAUCGAUGGAUCCGCGCCGCAUUAGCUAGUUGGUAAGGUAACGCCUUACCAAGGCAACGAUGCGAAGCCAACCUGAGAGGGGAUGGGGCCACACUGGAACGGAACCAAGGCCCAGACUCCAACGGGAGGCAGCGGUAGGGAAUCUUCCGCAAGGGGCGAAGUCCUGACGGGGCAACGCCGGGUGAGGGAUGAAGGUCUUGGGAUCUUAAAACUCUGUUAUUAUGGAAGAACAAAUGUGUAAGUAACUAUGCACGUCUUGACGGUACCUAAUCAGAAAGCCACGGCUAACUACGUG